rnacentral:rRNA from 1 species
GUGAGGAAUAUUGCGCAAUGGAGGCAACUCUGACGCAGCCAUGCCGCGUGCAGGAAGAAGGCGCUACGCGUUGUAAACUGCUUUUAACCGGGAAGAAACCCCAGGACGUGUCCUGGGUUGACGGUACCGGAGGAAUAAGCACCGGCUAACUUCGUGCCAGCAGCCGCGGUAAUCCGAAGGGUGCAAGCGUUAUCCGGAUUCAUUGGGUUUAACGGGUGCGUAGGCGGAGCGUUAAUCCAGUGGUGAAAUCCUGCAGCUUAACUGUAGACUUGCCAUUGAUACUGGCGCGCUUGAGUGCGCUUGAAGUGGGCGGAAUGUGCCGUGUAGCGGUGAAAUGCUUAGAUAUGGCACAGAACACCAAUUGCGAAGGCAGCUCACUAAGGCGAUACUGACGCUGAGGCACGAAAGCGUGGGGAUCGAACAGGAUUAGAAACCCGAGUAGUCC